UACGGAGGAUGCGAGCGUUAUCCGGAUUUAUUGGGUUUAAAGGGUGCGUAGGCGGAUUGAUAAGUCAGUGGUGAAAUCCUACAGCUUAACUGUAGAAUUGCCGUUGAUACUGUUUUUCUUGAGUAUGGUCAAGGAAGGCGGAAUGUGUAAUGUAGCGGUGAAAUGCUUAGAUAUUACACAGAACACCAAUUGCGAAGGCAGCUUUCUGGCCCAUUACUGACGCUGAGGCACGAAAGCGUGGGGGAUCGAACAGGAUUAGAUACCCCCGUA
rnacentral:rRNA from 1 species